AUGGGCAGCUAUUAACGCAAUUGGCCAGUUGUCUACUGACUUGGGGCCUGAUUUGCAAGUACAAUACCACAGCAGAGUAUUGCCAGCUUUGGCAACAGCUAUGGAUGAUUUUCAAAAUCCACGAGUGCAGGCACAUGCUGCGUCAGCUGUCCUCAACUUCAGUGAGAACUGCACACCAGAAAUUUUGACACCUUACUUGGAUGGAAUAGUUAGCAAACUACUUGUUCUUCUACAGAACGGAAAACAAAUGGUGCAAGAAGGAGCAUUAACUGCUUUGGCUUCAGUGGCUGAUUCAUCACAGGAGCACUUCCAGAAGUACUAUGACGCUGUAAUGCCAUAUUUGAAAACCAUACUGGUAAAUGCGAAUGAUAAAUCUAAUCGCAUGCUUCGAGCCAAAGCCAUGGAGUGCAUAAGCUUGGUUGGGAUGGCUGUUGGAAAAGAUAAAUUCAGAGAUGAUGCUAAGCAGGUUAUGGAAGUGCUUAUGUCACUACAAGGAUCGCAAAUGGAGACAGAU
rnacentral:misc_RNA from 1 species